rnacentral:rRNA from 1 species
AUUGAACGCUGGCGGCAGGCCUAACACAUGCAAGUCGAGCGAGCGGCGGACGGGUGAGAAAUGGAUGGGGACUGCCCGAUAGAGGGGGAUAACUACUGGAAACGGUAGCUAAUACCGCAUCCUAUCGGAUAACCCAUAUGGGUUUAGCUAGUAGGUGAGGUAAUGGCUAACCUUGGCGACGAUACCUAGCUGGUCUGAGGGGAUGAUCAGCCACACUGGGACUGAGACACGGCCCAGACUCCUACGGAGGCAGCAGUGGGGAAAAUUGCACAAGGGGCGCAAGCCUGAUGCAGCCAUGCCGGGUGUAUGAAGAAGGCCCUAGGGUUGUAAAGUAUUUUCAGUCGGGAGGCGUUACCGACAGAAGAAGCACCGGCUAACUACGUGCCAGCAGCCGCGGUAAUUC